UACGAAGGGGGGCUAGCGUUGCUCGGAAUCACUGGGCGUAAAGGGCGCGUAGGCGGCCAUUCAAGUCGGGGGUGAAAGCCUGUGGCUCAACCACAGAAUUGCCUUCGAUACUGUUUGGCUUGAGUUUGGUAGAGGUUGGUGGAACUGCGAGUGUAGAGGUGAAAUUCGUAGAUAUUCGCAAGAACACCAGUGGCGAAGGCGGCCAACUGGACCAAUACUGAACGC
rnacentral:rRNA from 1 species